rnacentral:rRNA from 1 species
AGUGAACGCUGGCGGUAGGCCUAACACAUGCAAGUCGAGCGGCAGCACAGUAAGAGCUUGCUCUUACGGGUGGCGAGUGGCGGACGGGUGCGGAAUACCUCGGAAUCUACUUUGUCGUGGGGGAUAACGUGGGGAAAAUUACGCUAAUACCGCAUACGACCUACGGGUGAAAGCAGGGGAUCUUCGGACCUUGCGCGAUCGAAUGAGGCGAUGUCGGAUUAGCUAGUUGGCGGGGUAAAGGCCCACCAAGGCGACGAUCCGUAGCUGGUCUGAGAGGAUGAUCAGCCACACUGGAACUGAGACACGGUCCAGACUCCUACGGGAGGCAGCAGUGGGGAAUAUUGGACAAUGGGCGAAAGCCUGAUCCAGCCAUACCGCGUGGGUGAAGAAGGUCUUCGGGUUGUAAAGCACUUUUGUUGGGAAAGAAAAGCAGCAGGUUAAUACCUCGCUGUUCUGACGGUACCCAAAGAAUAAGCACCGGCUAACUUCGUG